rnacentral:rRNA from 1 species
GAUCCUGGCUCAGGAUGAACGCUAGCUACAGGCUUAACACAUGCAAGUCGAGGGGCAGCACAGUGUAGCAAUACACGGGUGGCGACCGGCGCACGGGUGCGUAACGCGUAUCCAACCCUUCCCCUUACUCAGGAAUAGCCCGUUGAAAGACGGAUUAAUGCCUGAUGUUCUCUUUUUCCGGCAUCGGUAAUAGAGCAAAGAUUCAUCGGUAAGGGAUGGGGAUGCGUAUGAUUAGCUUGUUGGCGGGGUAACGGCCCACCAAGGCAACGAUCAUUAGGGGUUCUGAGAGGAAGGUCCCCCACACUGGAACUGAGACACGGUCCAGACUCCUACGGGAGGCAGCAGUGAGGAAUAUUGGUCAAUGGAGGCAACUCUGAACCAGCCAAGUAGCGUGCAGGAUGACGGCCCUAUGGGUUGUAAACUGCUUUUAUGCGGGGAUAAAUGAGCCUACGUGUAGAUUUUUGCAGGUACCGCAUGAAUAAGGACCGGCUAAUUCCGUG